CACACCGCCCGUCACGCCAUGAAAGCUGUGAGCGCCCGAAGCCGGUGCCGAAACCCUUUUGGGGCCAAGCCGUCUAAGGCGAGCGCAGUGAUUGGGGCG
rnacentral:rRNA from 1 species